rnacentral:rRNA from 1 species
UACGUAGGGGGGCGAGCGUUGUCCGGAUUUAUUGGGCGUAAAGAGCGUGUAGGCGGCCAAGUAGGUCUGCUGUGAAAACUCGAGGCUCAACCUCGAGACGUCGGCGGAAACCAUCUGGCUAGAGUCCGGAAGAGGAGAGUGGAAUUCCUGGUGUAGCGGUGAAAUGCGCAGAUAUCAGGAAGAACACCCGUGGCGAAGGCGGCUCUCUGGGACGGUACUGACGCUGAGACGCGAAAGCGUGGGGAGCGAACAGG